rnacentral:rRNA from 1 species
GACGAACGCUGGCGGCGUGCCUAAUACAUGCAAGUUGAGCGCUGAAGGUUGGUACUUGUACCAACUGGAUGAGCAGCGAACGGGUGAGUAACGCGUGGGGAAUCUGCCUUUGAGCGGGGGACAACAUUUGGAAACGAAUGCUAAUACCGCAUAAAAACUUUAAACACAAGUUUUAAGUUUGAAAGAUGCAAUUGCAUCACUCAAAGAUGAUCCCGCGUUGUAUUAGCUAGUUGGUGAGGUAAAGGCUCACCAAGGCGAUGAUACAUAGCCGACCUGAGAGGGUGAUCGGCCACAUUGGGAGUGAGACACGGCCCAAACUCCUACGGGAGGCAGCAGUAGGGAAUCUUCGGCAAUGGGCGAAAGUCUGACCGAGCAACGCCGCGUGAGUGAAGAAGGUUUUCGGAUCGUAAAACUCUGUUGGUAGAGAAGAACGUUGGUGAGAGUGGAAAGCUCAUCAAGUGACGGUAACUACCCAGAAAGGGACGGCUAACUACGUG